rnacentral:rRNA from 1 species
AACGAACGCUGGCGGCAGGCCUAACACAUGCAAGUCGAACGCCGUAGCAAUACGGAGUGGCAGACGGGUGAGUAACGCGUGGGAACCUACCUUACGGUCGGGAAUAGCUCAGGGAAACUUGGGGUAAUACCGGAUACGCCCUUACGGGGAAAGAUUUAUCGCCGUUAGAUGGGCCCGCGUAGGAUUAGCUAGUUGGUGAGGUAAUGGCUCACCAAGGCGACGAUCCUUAGCUGGUCUGAGAGGAUGAUCAGCAACACUGGGACUGAGACACGGCCCAGCCUCCUCGGGGAGGAAGCAGUGGGAAAUAUGGGAAAAGGGGCGCAAGCCUGAUCCAGCCAUGCCGGGUGAGGGACGAAGGCUUUAGGGUUGUAAAGCUCUUUUGGCGGGGAAGAUAAUGACGGUACCCGCAGAAUAAGCCCCGGCUAACUUCGUGCCAGCAGCCGCGGUAA